AGAGCGGCACCCUGAGGGCACGGCUGACCAAGCCGUUCCGCUCGAGAAGCAAGGAGAAGAUUGACACGCCAUCCGAGCGCGUCCGAAAGGAGGCCCGUGCUCGCGCAGCAGAAGCUCGAACCGGUCCAGGAAAGGGCGCCCGUAGAGCGUUCAAACUCCCUAUCGGCCAAGAAGGACAAAGGGAGUAAAAAGUCGCUCCUGGGACGCCUCACUUCGAAGGAGAGCCCGGCCAAGACGACGACGACGACGCGGAAUCGCCAAACUCCAAGCCGCCGGCAACGCCGGUCAGGAACCGCAAGGGCUCGUUCAACGAGACACCCGUCUAAGGAACGUCGCUUCUGCUGCUGCUGCCGCCGUUGUUAGUGCUGCUGUUCCCGCGGCACUGCGAAUGCGUCCACUAACGAAGAGAUGCCAAAGAACCGUUUUCCACAAUCUCGCUCCUGUAACGAACUUUUCCUAUUUUGUGCCUACGGGAGGGAGAAAAAAAAAGAAGCAAAACGCUGGGCAUGUUUAUACACAGUUCCGUGAUUUUCAUACGUCAAUCAUUUUUGUGGUGUUCCCUGUAGUCAUUGUCCUUCUGCGUCCCCUUCGUACACAGUUUUUGUUCUCGUAACUGCGGGGAAAAAAAUGAAAACAAUGGGUGUGAUCUGUUAUGAAAUAGAGCAUUUUUUCCCUUGUU
rnacentral:lncRNA from 1 species